AAGAUUAAGCCAUGCAUGUCUAAGUAUAAGCAAUUUAUACAGUGAAACUGCGAAUGGCUCAUUAAAUCAGUUAUAGUUUAUUUGAUGGUAUCUUGCUACAUGGAUAACUGUGGUAAUUCUAGAGCUAAUACAUGCUUAAAAGCCCCGACUUCCGGAAGGGGUGUAUUUAUUAGAUAAAAACCAAUGGGUUUCGGCCCUUCAUGGUGAUUCAUAAUAACUUCUCGAAUCGUAU
rnacentral:rRNA from 1 species